AUGCUCACUAUGGCAGCACAUAUAUUAAAAUUGGAAUGAUACAGAGAAGAUUAGCAAGGCCCCUGUGCAAGGAUGACACACAAAUUCAUGAAGCAUUCCAUAUUUUU
ensembl:snRNA U6 U6 spliceosomal RNA